rnacentral:rRNA from 1 species
CCUACGGGCGGCAGCAGUGGGGGAUAUUGCACAAUGGAGGAAACUCUGAUGCAGCAACGCCGCGUGAGGGAAGAAGGUCUUCGGAUUGUAAACCUCUGUCCUCAGGGACGAUAAUGACGGUACCUGAGGAGGAAGCUCCGGCUAACUACGUGCCAGCAGCCGCGGUAAUACGUAGGGAGCAAGCGUUGUCCGGAUUUACUGGGUGUAAAGGGUGCGUAGGCGGCCCUGCAAGCCAGGUGUGAAAACUAUGGGCUUAACGCAUAGAUUGUACUUGAAACUGUGGGGAUUGAGUGAAGUAGAGGCAGGCGGAAGCCCCGGUGUAGGGAUGAAAAGCGUAGAGGUCGGGAAGAACACGGGUAGCGAGGGCGGACUGCUGGGCUUUAACUGACGCUGAGGAACGAAAGCGUGGGUAGCAAACAGGAUUAGAUACCCUAGUAGUC